rnacentral:rRNA from 1 species
AGAUAAAUUUAUAAUAAAAAAAUAGGUAUAAAGUUUAAAUAUAGUAAUAUAUAAUAUUAUAGCUAAUAUAUACUAAAAAAUCUAAAUUUA